rnacentral:rRNA from 1 species
UGGGGAAUAUUGGACAAUGGGGGGAACCCUGAUCCAGCCAUGCCGCGUGUGUUAAGAAGGCCUUAUGGUUGUAAAGCACUUUAAGCGAGGAGUAGGGUACUGGUAUUAAUACUACCAGGUACUGGACGUUACUCGCAGAAUAAGCACCGGCUAACUCUUUGCCAGCAGCCGCGGUAAUACAGAGGGUUCAAGCGUUAAUCGGAAUUACUGGUCGUAAAGCGCGCGUAGGUGGUUCGUUAAGUUGAAUGUGAAAGCCCCGGGCUAAACCUGGGAACUGCAUCCAAAAAUGGCGAGCUAGAGUAGGGCAGAGGGUGGUGGAAUUUCCUGUGUAGCGGUGAAAUGCGUAGAUAUAGGAAGGAACACCAGUGGCGAAGGCGACCACCUGGGCUCAUACUGACACUGAGGUGCGAAAGCGUGGGGAGCAAACAGG